AAAGAAAAGGCAUAAUGAUAAAUUAGCCCCUAAAGUUUACUCCUUUUUCAUUAUAGCUCUAAUUUUGUUUAAGCUUUAAAUUUUAGUCAAAUUAUUUUUUGUUGAACGGAAAAGCUGAUUGAACUAUUAAAAUUUUAACAACACUGAUGUGAUAGUUUACGUGACAAUUCAUGUAUAUCUCAACAGUCAGAGCCAAGGGUGGUUGGUAGGGCUCCGGUCUUCCCUAAAAUGAAAAAUUUUCUAUUUAGGUUCUUUAUAAUUUAUAAAUUUUAAAUUAGCAAUGGCAAAAUUACACUUUGGCCCUCUCAAAAGUGAUAAAAAUUUGAUAUAGACUACCAAAAUGGUAAAUUAAAAUGGUGAAAUUGGAUGUUUAAGAUAGUAAACCUUUACAGUGGCCAUCAAAUAUGUAUAGAAAAAAAGAAUUUUCUUUUUUCUUGUGGAAAACCCAUCAGCUUAAUGUUUCUGAAUUACCAGUGGACAAACAAAAGCUUACUGCUCCAAUAAAAUCAACUGCUGACAAGUUUCAGCUUCUUCCUGAGUUUUUAAAGGUUAGAGGGUUAAUGAAGCAGCAAUUGGAUUCUUUUGAUUAUUUUGUUAAUAUUGGGAUUAAGAAGAUUGUUCGUGUCAAUGACAGGAUUGUAUCUGAUAUUGAUCCCAGUAUUUACCUCAGGUUUGAAAUGCAUUUUUUGUUUAUGUUCUUUUGGUUAUGAUUGCUGUAAAAUGUAUUUUGUAUAACUUGAUGAUGCAGGCUAGGGAUGGAAAAAAACCCAAAGCUGACUGUUCUGAUCUGACCUGAUCGGAAAAUCGGGUUUGGGGUGGGUCGGUUUUGAGGUGAACCUGCCCUGCCUGCUCUGAGAUAUUUAGCUAGCUUUUUCUUUUUCCAUUUUUUUUUGUUAGAAGCAGCACAAUGUAAUCUAUUUGCUUAACUGUUACUCAUUUGUGAUCAAUUUUUGAAGUAUUUUCGUUUUAGUAAAAUUCGAGGGAGCAAAAAGCUAGUGGUGAAUUAGUGAUGAUGACAGCCACACUGAGCUUUAGCUAUUUUACAGUCAUGAAUUAGUUUGGUUGCCUUGUAUUUUGUUCCUUGACAUUUUCUGGUUAUGAUCUAUCUGUGUGGGGAAUUUAGUUUCCUAUGGUAUAAUUUGGAUUUGGAUUUUUUUUUUUUUUUUUUUGUGUUGAUCUAGCUCAGUUGUAACUUGUGUUGCUGUGCAGGUUUAAAGAUGCUAGAAUUGGGUAUCCCUCCAAGAUGGUUGAUGGGAAUUAAUAUGCUGUUAAUCUUGUAGGUAUUCUGCACCGAUAUUUGUCAACGGAGAGUACUUUCAAGUUAGAUAUGGGCAGAAAACUAGACUAGAAAAGGUAUACAGCAGAUGCUUCUUUGAUGUGUGUAUGAUGCAGAAUGAUAGGUGCUUUGGAUGUAAUGCAAAAUCUGUUCCUAGCAGAAUAAUCUUGUUAUUGCAAAAAUGCCCAUCAUGUUAAAGAGUUAACUCUGUGCGAUAUAUGGAAAAGAUGAAGUAGAACUUACAAGGCCAUAUCCCCAUCACAAUCAGUCACCAAGAAAUAUCUACCAGUGUGCUAUGGGGAAGCAGGCAAUGGGAAAUAUUGUAUAUAACCAGACAAGCAGUAUUACUUAGUAUUCUUUAAAUUUAUUUUCCUACCUUAGAACAAAGAGUCCUUGUAUGUUACCCCUCAGUUGCUAAGUAUUUAGCCUUCAACCUUCUCAGGCGAGGCUAUUUUUAUUGCGAACUCAUCCUUGUGUGCUUUAUUGUGCAUUAGGCUUCAACACAAGGUGAUGAAAAGGCUAGCUUGACUGAAGCUGUGAAGUAACAUUUAAGUCCUUUUUAAUUUUUUAUUUUAGAACUCAAAAAUCCACUUGAAUUUAUGAAGGUUUCGUUAUAAUAAAACAAGCAUUUACUGUUUUCCACAAGUUAUGCUUAACUUGAAGUGAUUAAAUAAUCUUUUAUCCAUGAUUUUUGAGUGGUGAAGUACGAUUCUUUCCUUUUACAUUUUCACUGCUGGGAUUAUUGACAGUGACUAGCUUCAGUCUCAAAAUAACCAUCUUUUGACAUAGGUUUGCAGAAAAUGUGGUUUGUUAGGAUACUACAGCCAUAAGCUGAAAACUGGGAUUUGUUCUUCAUGUAAAAAUGGAGAUAAUGUUUCUACUAUGAAACUACUGUACGCAUGCAAGCUUUUAAUCCAGGCAAGGGCGAAGCCAGGAAACUUUGGUUGGGAGUUGAGAGUGUCAGGAUAAGAAUAUAAAUUGUUGGGGGGUCAAACUUAAAAUUUUUAUGCAAAAAAGAUUAAAGUGUAAUCCUAAAUAGUAAGAAGGGCUCAAACUGCAAUAUGCUCAUUUUAUCCCCUUUGGAUUCGCCCCUGCACACGGGUGUAGCAUGGUACUUGUUAGUUCCACUUCUGAGCACAUGUAUUCGAGAAGCAUGUAUUUCAUCUAUAUUUACUCGAACUUGGAUUAAGUGUCGGAUAUGGGAAUGUUCCGAUAUGGAUAUAUAUGUUCAACUUUUUCAAUGUUUUUUCAUGGUAUUUGGAGAGCCCUUGGAGGGUGUUAUAUCCUCGUAUCCAUGUCCAGAUAUGAGUUAGACAUGGAGUACUUCAAGAAAACCGAAGCGUAAGAGCAACAUAUUAUUUCUUAAGUUUGUUGUUUGCUAUGGUUAUUCAAGUUGUUGUAAAUUGUAAUUCAUUCAUGAAUUGGUUCGAUAUCCUUUUUCUCUAUAGAAUUUCUUUUGCUA